rnacentral:lncRNA from 1 species
UACAUUUCAUCUCCCAAAAUGAAUGGAUGGUUUUGAUUUGAUGAAACUCCUCCCAUGACCAAUUUGUGUUUCUAUCUUCCCCUCCAUCUUCAUAUUCAUCCCUAUUCUUCCCCAUUCCUUCAUUUGACCAAUGAAAUCUCUAAUGUCUUAAGGCUAAUUGGUUCAUCAAUGACCCUGUGUCAGAUGACCCAAAACAAGUAUGACUGAGAUA